rnacentral:lncRNA from 1 species
GUGGAGAACUCACUUCCAUUACGUUGAAAUCCAAGAGAGAAUCAUAGCACAGUAUUAAACAGAAGUGAUGAUAGUAGACCAUUUUUCUAUUUCCUGAUCUCAAAAGGAAAGAUUUCUAGUUACCGAUGCUGUAGGUAAGUUGUAGAUACCCUUCAUCUUAUUGAGAAAGUUUUCUUGCAUUUCUUAGAUGAACCAACUUGUUCAUUAUUCAUGU